UACGGAGGGGGCUAGCGUUGUUCGGAAUUACUGGGCGUAAAGCGCACGUAGGCGGCUUUGUAAGUUAGAGGUGAAAGCCCAGGGCUUAACCCUGGAAUUGCCUUUAAGACUGCAUCGCUAGAAUCGUGGAGAGGUGAGUGGAAUUCCGAGUGUAGAGGUGAAAUUCGUAGAUAUUCGGAAGAACACCAGUGGCGAAGGCGACUCACUGGACACGUAUUGACGCUGAGACGCGAAAGCGUGGGGAGCAAACAGG
rnacentral:rRNA from 1 species